CUCACAGUUACUUAAGGCCCUACCUAUUAGCAGGCUUCUCUCAGCUGUGGCUCAUUUAUUUUUCUUCACAUACUCCUUCCAUAUCAAAUGACAUAAUUCCAAAUGAUUUAUGCACUGAGGUGACACACUUCAUCAGGUUAGAUUAAUUCACCAACUCCUGUGUGCUAUUAUAGGCAGUUUUUGGCUCUAUACUUAUGGAGAUAGUUGGACAGUUAAGAAUUGACAGCACUUCUUGCGUUCUAACUCUUUGAUUAACAAGGAAGGUUUCAGCAUUGCUCCUUUCAAUCAUCCAUUACAAACGGAAUAUGAGCGAAAAAUAGGGCUCAAAAGAAAGCUAACAAGCAGAAUAGAAUCGCUCUACGUGAUGAGGAACUGAGAAAGAAUUACCAUAAUUUGUGUGAAUUUCACCACUGAACUAGAAGAAACAGAAGAAUUUUAAGAAGAAAGUAUAGCUAAAAUUAUUUUUAAACGCCAUAUAUUUUUUGUUUGUUUGUUUUCAUCAUUUGAGUAAGAUAGAGUGUUUUGGAAGAUGGGGUUUUCUAUGAUCUCCUGCUGGGAAUAAUCUCAUGCAAAGCUGCCUACUGCUUUGUGAAGUAUAUAAAUAGGGUGACAAGUUACAGCUAAAUUUAAGAGAUAAGAUGUCAACUUAAGCUUAAUGCUUUAAAUCUUGUUACUUACAAGAUUCUUAUGUGAUACAUCUACAGAUGAGAUCAAUGGAAAUUGAAGUUCCUUCAUUAUAGAAGAGAAAUUGCUGUUGGAAUAUCAUUUUUCAUUAAAACCUGGUGUGUAUCCUUCCCA
rnacentral:lncRNA from 1 species